rnacentral:lncRNA from 1 species
AUGCCACCGCUGCCACUACCACCACCACAACCACUAUCACCGUCACCACGACAAUCAGCACUAUUAUCAUCACCAUCACCACCACCAUCAUCACCACCACCACCACCAUCACCACCACUAUCACCACCUCUACCACCACCACCCCCUCCAUCACCACCACUAUCACCACCUCUACCACCACCACCCCCUCCAUCACCACCACCACCUCCAUCAUCACCACCAAUACCACCACCACCACUACCAUCCCUAUCACUACCACCAUCACUACCACCACCAAUACCACCACCAUCACCACCACUACCACCACCAUCACCACCACCACCACCACCAUCACCACCACUACCACCACCUCUUCCACCACCACCCCCUCCAUCACCACCACCACCACCACCUCCAUCACCACCACCACCACCACCUCUUCCACCACCACCCCCUCCAUCACCACCACCACCACCACCACCAUCACCACCACUACCACCACCAUCACCACCACCACCACCUCCAUCAUCACCACUACCACCACCUCUUCCACCACCACCCCCUCCAUCACCACCACCACCACCACCUCCAUCACCACCACCAAUACCACCACCACUACCACCACCACCACUACCACCACCAUCACUACCACCACCUCCAUUAGCACCACCACUAUCACCAACACCACUACCACCACCAUCACCACCACCACCACCACCAUCACCACCACUACCACCACCAUCAUCACCACCACCACCACCAUCACCACCACUAUCACCACCUCUACCACCACCACCCCCUCCAUCACCACCACCACCUCCAUCAUCACCACCAAUACCACCACCACCACUACCAUCCCUAUCACUACCACCAUCACUACCACCACCAAUACCACCACCAUCACCACCACUACCACCACCAUCACCACCACUACCACCACCAUCACCACCACCAUCACUACCACCCCCUCCAUCACCACCACCACCUCCAUCACAAGAAUUUGCCCCACCAUCAAGGAAGACUGGGAAAUGGAGUAUCUGUCCUCUUCAGUGUCCCGAUGUAUAUGUUAGGGAAUUCUCUCAACACAGGUAG